rnacentral:tRNA from 1 species
GCCUUCUUAGCUCAGUGGUAGAGCGCUGGUCUCGUAAUUAAAUUAACAUUAACAUAACUUCCAAAGUUAACCAGAGGUCGGGAGUUCAAUCCUCCCAGGAGGCA